CUGCUGCCUUCCGUAGGAGUCUGGGCCGUAUCUCAGUCCCAAUGGUGGCCGGCCAACCUCUCCAGUCCGGCUACUGAUCGUCGCCUUGGUGGGCCGUUACCCCACCAACUAGCUAAUCAGACGCGAGGCCAUCUUUCGGCGAUAAAUCUUUGACGUCAAAGCCAUGCGACUUCGACGUAUCAUGCGGUAUUAGCAGUCGUUCCAACUGUGUCCCCUCGAAGGCAGGUUCCNCACGCGUACNCACCAGU
rnacentral:rRNA from 1 species